GUUUCCACAUUAGCUUAGUGGCUGAGCAUUUGUCUUCCAUGCAGAAGGUCCCAGGUUCAAGUCUCGGCACCUCCA